rnacentral:rRNA from 1 species
UACGAAGGGGGCUAGCGUUGUUCGGAAUCACUGGGCAUAAAGCGCACGCAGGCGGAUUGAUAAGUCAGGGGUGAAAUCCCGGAGCUCAACUUCGGAAUUGCCUUUGAUACUAUCUGUCUUGAGUCCGGGAGAGGUGAGUGGAAUUCCUAGUGUAGAGGUGAAAUUCGUAGAUAUUAGGAAGAACACCAGUGGCGAAGGCGGCUCACUGGCCCGGUACUGACGCUCAUGUGCGAAAGCGUGGGGAGCAAACAGG